UCCUGAGAGCAAGAGACUUACUUCUGCAGUGGGAUGCCGUGGAGGUCCCUUCAGGCAACAGACAGGACAUUGCAUUUAUAUCACGGAAUGGGACGGCAUCAGGAAUCUUUUCCUCUAUGAUGAUAAAAGAGUCAAAAUUCCCUUUAAUUCAGAGACAUGAAGCACCUCGAAAUACAGAAAUUGCAGAAAGAAGCACAGCAAACAGAUGAAUGGAGUUUGAAAGGGAAGUAGAAAGCCAUAAGCAAAAGGAGGGACUUACAAAGAAGAGAGAGCCUCUGAAAGUGAACUGGGACAUCAGAGGACACGCGACCCCCUGAUUCAAAUGGAGAUGCAAGAUUUGACAGAAAUAAUCUAAGCUGAAGUUAUCUUCAAGUGGUGCAAAGGAGUUUCAGGAUUACGUCCCAUAAACCCUGCGCAUCUUUUGAUGUCCACACACAAAAA